GACUCGAUAGCUAAGUGGUUAUAGCGUGGGAUUGCAGAUCCUAAGGUCCCGUGUUCAAAUCACGGUCGGGUCU
rfam:Schizophyllum commune H4-8 unplaced genomic scaffold SCHCOscaffold_4, whole genome shotgun sequence.